GUGGGGUUGUGGCUCAGUGGUAGAGUGUUCACCCAAUAUGCAUGAGGCACUGGGUUCAAUCCUCAGCACCACA
rnacentral:tRNA from 1 species